UCACGUGGAGGAAGGAGAGCUCAGGUGGGGAAAGGGGGUGCUCCGCGUUUUCUUGUCCUUCUGCAGUGUUUCAAGCCCAGGUGGAAGUGUGUCCUGCUUGUUUGUGGGCAGAGCUGUCCCCACACAUGUGCUCGCGCACGUGCGGCUCGUGGCUACAGUCACUGUAGUAAAGCACAGGUGGAAGAGGAAGGAGUUGAGCUGAGGCUGCCCGUGAGUAUGGAGGGGGUGAUCCCUGAGACCCUGAGACGGUGUAGACGGGACCCCUCGGGAGCUCACCCACCCCACAGCUCCUCCUUUGGUUUCAUCUCCUGUGAGUCUGACCACAGUCUGUCUGUCCUGCCCCAGGCAGUGACAGUCCCCAGGGCUCUCUCUGCUCCUAUAGGUGUGUCGGGGAGCGUCAGGGAGCGGGGCGCAGUUGGGACGGCGCACAAGUCAGGACGCUUGCUCCCUGCAGCCCUUCCUCUGAGCUGAGGCUGCGGUCCCGCGCCGCUCGACCUGAGACGACAGGGGCUCCUCUGGGGAGAGAGUCUCUAGCAUCUGUCAGCUUUUACGUGACCGUGGCACGCAUGAAAAACCAACAGUGAAGGAGCCCAGAGCACCGGCCUAGUAGCUGGAGUGUCCCACAAAGUCGGGACUGUUCACGCACAACAGGCCAACCGGGAACAUGGAAGGACCGUGAACAGCUGGUCGCAGACAGACAGACGUGAUAGCCAUGCUUCCGCUCUGCUUAUCCUUUACUCCUGGACGAGAUGAGGCCACGCCAUGGUCUUUGACCACAGAUCCUUUGUAGCGAUAGGACCGGAACUGCAGAGAUGCUGCCACGGUAGCCGCGUCCCACUGACAAUUUACGCACCAUCCUGCUGGAGGACAGGGUCUCCCAGCACUCUGACCAAUUGCAUCUACCACUGGGUGAGCAAAACCCAAUCCAGAAUACGAGUUCCUGUCAAGGCCCAUUUGUAGCCCCUCGGGGUUACCGGUUCCACUCUGACUUGCCAGCUACGGUCAAGGCUUUCCUACAGGGGACCGGCCUCCUAGCUCUCUGUAGAGUUUGGUUGGCAGCCAGAACAGUUCUUUUUGGUAUUUUGGGCCACAGAGGAUGCAAGUGGACUCUAGAGUUCCAGGCCUUCUCUGCAUUGCCACAGCCCCCACUGUCCCCUUAUUUCACUGACCUACGUGGUUACCUCGAGAGAGGACGACACCAGGAUACCCACUCAUCCAUUUCAAUCGACUUCCAAACUCAGAAGGUGGUUCUUGUGAUGAGCAUCAACAUGUCCUCCUUUAAUGCACCCCUCAAAUUCCUGUAGUGUUCGAGGGUCCAGCCCCCAUGUGGUUAUCCCUUUAAUAGACCUUGUUUCCGUUGUCCUGCUGCCUGACCAUGUGGCCUGGCUGUUGGCCACUGCCCAUGAGUUGGUAAAUUCCAAACACAGGAGUUUUUCUCAUUGUUCCAUUUUUUUCCCUACUGUGAAUCAACAUAAACAUUAAAACUACCCUAUGACUGAAGUAAAAAAUAAUCCUGAGACUGACAGCCAUGUAAUCUUGGAUAAUGUUGGAAAAACACUCUA